rnacentral:rRNA from 1 species
AUACGGAGGGUGCGAGCGUUAAUCGGAAUUACUGGGCGUAAAGCGUGCGUAGGUGGCUUGGUAAGUCGGAUGUGAAAGCCCUGGGCUCAACCUGGGAACUGCAUUCGAUACUGCCUAGCUAGAGUAUGGUAGAGGGAAGUGGAAUUUCCGGUGUAGCGGUGAAAUGCGUAGAUAUCGGAAGGAACACCAGUGGCGAAGGCGGCUUCCUGGACCAAUACUGACACUGAGGUACGAAAGCGUGGGGAGCAAACAGGAUUAGAAACCCCGGUAGUCC